UGCAAGUCGAGGGGAAACGAUGGGAGGGCUUGCCCUCCCAGGCGUCGACCGGCGCACGGGUGAGUAACACGUAUCCAACCUGCCCUCUUCCGGGGAACAACCUUGCGAAAGUAAGACUAAUGCCCCAUGUGUCCUCAGAUGGCAUCAGACGAGGACGAAAGAUUUAUCGGAAGUGGAUGGGGAUGCGCCUGAUUAGGCAGUUGGCGGGGCAACGGCCCACCAAGCCGACGAUCAGUAGGGGUUCUGAGAGGAAGGUCCCCCACAUUGGAACUGAGACACGGUCCAAACUCCUACGGGAGGCAGCAGUGAGGAAUAUUGGUCAAUGGGCGAGAGCCUGAACCAGCCAAGUAGCGUGCAGGAUGACGGCCCUAUGGGUUGUAAACUGCUUUUGCGCGGGGAUAAAGUGCGCCACGUGUGGCGCAUUGCAGGUACCGCGCGAAUAAGGACCGGCUAAUUCCGUGCCAGCAGCCGCGGUAAUACGGAAGGUCCGGGCGUUAUCCGGAUUCAUUGGGUUUAAAGGGAGCGCAGGCCGCCCCUUAAGCGUGUUGUGAAAUGCCGCGGCUCAACCGUGGCACUGCAGCGCGAACUGGGGGGCUUGAGUGCGCGCAGCGCAGGCGGAACUCG
rnacentral:rRNA from 1 species